CUUUGGAAAUUGUAAUCUUUUCCAUGUAGUUCAUCCAAGAUUUAGCAUAAUGUAGUCUCUUUUCAAGUUUCUUUCAAGACUUUGCUUUUUUUUUAUUUUGUCCUGGUCCUUGUCAGAUAGGUCCAUUUGUUUAUUCAGUCAAUCAAAAAAAUACAUUGAGUACCUUCCAUAUGGCAGGCAGGUUAUUCUAAUCUGUAAGCUUAGUUUUAAAGUGUGAACUUAGUUUCAGUUACAGUUUAUUUUAUUGUAUUUGUUUAAUGUUAAUUGAACAUACCCAUGUCUUUGUACCAAAUGGAGCAUGUUCUUUACUAAAAUUUUAUUUGUGGGUGGACAUUAGGAUUACAGUUAGAAAAAAAGUAUGCACAAGCACACCUACUCACUAAAAUAUGAGAUAUUGAUGAUCCUAAAGAAAAUAUACAAUGAAAUAGUUGAGAAUGUAGUCGCUCAGUCGUGUCUGACUCUUUGUGACGCCGUGGACUGUAGCCUGCCAGGCUCCUCUGUCAAUGGAAUUCUCCAGGGGAGAAUUGGAGUGGGUUGCCACUCACAUCUCCAGGAAAUCUUCCCAACCCAAGGACUGAGCCCAGGUCUUCUUUAUUGCAGGCAGAUUCUUUGCUAUCUGAGCCAACAAGGAAGCCUCCAAAUCAUGGCACAUAUCUUCAAAGUCAUUGAUUAAAAGAACAUCAUGAGAAAAACAGUAUUGUUUCUUUUUAGUGCUUCUAAUACCUUUCCUGGGAAUUCAGGUGGAACAGAGAAUCCAGUGAAAUCUUGUGCUUUGCAUCAUUAUUAAGCUUAUAUCUGCAAGCUAAUCUUCUGUGAUAAGGUUAAAAUGUAAAAGCAUUUGAAUCAAUAGCUCUUUCAGAUGCUGCUUUGAUAAAAUUGCUUCAUUUUAUUUUCCAACUAAUUAAUUCAUGUAAGUAGAAAGAUUAAGAGAAAUACUUACUCAUAUUAUAAGUAACAGGAUCCAAACAGUUUAUUGAACUGUAUUUUUGGCAUCUUUGCAACCAGUAAAACUCUUUAAUAAUCAGGUCUCAGAAACAUCUGUCUUAGGGUUAUAUAUGCUGGCUUCUAUUUACUGGAAAAGGAAUUAACAUAGGGUCAGGGGCAAAGGUGAGGUUACUUCUACCUGGAAAUUAAUCAUAAAAUUCAUUUUCCCCUUUGAUGUCUGUGAACAUACACCUCACCCCCACCUCCAUCUUUUAUCUUCUUAAAACCCUCAAGCUCCCUUUCAUGUGCUGUGGCAAUUUAAAGGAAUCUAAAGUUGUAGAUUUAUUUAUUUACUUAAUUAAAUACUGAAAAUAUAAUACGGUAGGGUAAAAUAUUUUUAAAAGAUGUGACACCUUAAGAAGAAAUUCGCAGACAUCAUAAGUGACUUUAAUAUAUUGCUGAGUUUCAGGCUAUGUUCUUAGUCAUAUUUCUACUAGAAGAAGCCUAUGUUCCAUUUUGUGUCUUCUCAUUUGCAUUACUGAAAAGUUAUUCAUGCGUAUGAAAAGGAUAAUGUUCAUCUCCAUAUCCUUUCCUCUCCAUAUUACAAACCCAGUGUGUUUAUGAGUUAUACAUAAACAUUGCUGUAUCUGUAUAUUUAUGCAUACAUAUCUAUGUGAUUCAAAUAAUAUUAUCACAACUGUAUAGCAAGCCCAAGUGAUAAUAUUAUGUACAAGAUGUGUCUUAUUACAUCAUUAAUGGAAUAUCAAAAUUGUCAAAUAUGUUGAAAUCCAAUAAUUGUAACUGACAAGCUCUAGCAUGACUUGUCUCCAUUGGGAAGGAUUGAAAAAGAGAGAGAGAAAGGAAUGUAUGUACUUCUGAAUUCCCCCUCUAAGUGCAUGUGAUUGUAUGGCAUGCUCUUAUUACUUCUGCAAACAUCUUUCAUGAGAUGCUGUUUUCACAGCAUUCAGAGUAUCUAGUGAAGUUUUUAUGUGUGCAUAAGCCGUAUCAUGUCCUAAAUUCAGAAAUUCAGUGCUGUUCCAGAAAGAACUACAAAGUUGAACUGCCAAGAAGAAAAAUGACCAACCUAGCUGAACUUAUCUCCCUCUAAUAUAUGAUUUGCCUUACUCAGUAUUCCAGGAAACUAUUUACCUGAAAGUUUAGACAGAGCUCACAGAGGAAAACUAUUUCUCUUCUACUCUCCAGUUCUGUUUCUACCCCUUAGAAAAGUAAAUGUUAUUGCUUAAUUCCAAAAAGUUUUCUCUCAAAAAUAUCUUGGCAUGUGGCAAUAUGAGGAAAAGAGGCUGACAAUGAAUUUCAUGGACACAGAAUUCAUUCAUUACAAUGAUAGGUUAUUCAGGAAUCCCCACCCUUUGUGUUCUGCUUUAUCUGUAUUUAGGGAUGGCAUGAAGGGUAGAAAAAGGAAGCUUAUUAUUUUCUUUAAAAUUAAUUCCCAGUUAACCAUUUACUAGUGGAUUAUUUUAAGCCCAGAGGACCUUAUAAUUACACGUUUUUUUUUUUUUUCAGUAAUUNNNNNNNNNNNNNNNNNNNNNNNNNNNNNNNNNNNNNNNNNNNNNNN
rnacentral:lncRNA from 1 species